GUGCUUGCUUCAGCAGCACAUAUUCUAAAAUUGGAACAAUACAGAGAAGAUUAUCAUGGCCCCUGUGCAAGGAUGACAUGCAAUUUCAUAAAGCAUUCCAUGUUUUU